GCACAGAGCGGGGGGGCCUGGAGGAGGAAUUAAAAAAUAAUCAGGAUUCAUAGGGAGCAUAAGGGUGAAGAUGUGCCAGGCCCUGGACCGGGAAUUGCAGAGGCAGGGUAUAGCAGGUUCAGAGGGGGUGCGGAGCCGGAGGUGCACACUGGUGUCGUGCCGACUGGCAAGGCUGGAUUCGGUGGGGAGCAUCAUCGGGAAGGCAGGGGGGAGGCCGGCCCAAUACGGAGCGCCGACAGUUUUUGAUGGAAUAGGAAGUGAGAGGCGCAGGAGGGCGGAGGAGCAGGAUUCAGGAGUGUACGGGAUCCCAGCCGAAAUCGUGG
rnacentral:lncRNA from 1 species